rnacentral:rRNA from 1 species
GAUGAACGCUGGCGGCGUGCCUAAUACAUGCAAGUCAAACGCACAGCGAAGGGUGCUUGCACCUUUCAAGUGAGUGGCGAACGGGUGAGUAACACGUGGACAACCUGCCUCAAGGCUGGGGAUAACAUUUGGAAACAGAUGCUAAUACCGAAUAAAACUCAGUGUCGCAUGACACAAAGUUAAAAGGCGCUUUGGCGUCACCUAGAGAUGGAUCCGCGGUG